UGUCUGCCCGGUGANUGAGGAGUUUAACGGCCGCGUUUUCGUGCUAAGGUAGCAUAAUCAUUUGCCUUUUCAUUGGAGGCUAGUAUGAAAGGAUUAACGAAGUCUAACUGUCUCUGCUUAUAUUAGUAAAAAUUGAUUUUAAAGUGAAAAAUCUUUAAUCUUUUUAAAGGACGAGAAGACCCUAUAGAGUUUGUAAUGUAAUGAUAAGCGGAAUGGUUUCGUGUAGAGAAGAAAAUGCCUUGUUGAUCAUGCAUUUUUAUUGGGGCAAUAAUAGAAAUUUGAAAAUUCUAAUUAAAUGAAUUUACUACUGUAAGAUAAUUAAAAUCCUUAAAAAGAAUUUAAAAACUACCUUAGGGAUAACAGCGUAAUUCUACCAGAGAGAUCUGAUCGAAGGAAGAGUUUGCGACCUCGAUGUUGGACUAAGAGAACCUUAAAGUGCAGAAGCUUUAGUAGGUAAGCCUGUUCGGCUUUUAAAAUCUUACAUGAUCUG
rnacentral:rRNA from 1 species